rnacentral:rRNA from 1 species
UACGGAGGGUGCAAACGUUGCUCGGAAUCAUUGGGCGUAAAGCGCGCGUAGGCGGUCCGGUUAGUCGGGUGUGAAAGCCCUAGGCUUAACCUAGGAAGUGCAUCCGAAACUGCCGGGCUAGAGUACCGGAGAGGGCGACGGAAUUCCCGGUGUAGAGGUGAAAUUCGUAGAUAUCGGGAGGAACACCAGCGGCGAAGGCGGUCGCCUGGACGGAUACUGACGCUGAGGCGCGAAAGCGUGGGGAGCAAAC